CUCAUCAUUAGAUAUCAUAAAACUGAAUUGGAACGAUACAGAGAUGAUUAGCAUGGCCCCUGCGCAAUGAUGACACGCAAAUUCGUGAAGCGUUCCAUAUUUUA